GGUUCGAUGGCGUAGUUGGUUAUCGCAUCUGUCUAACAUCUCGUUAAAUCCACGGUGUUACACAGAAGGUCCCCAGUUCGAGCCUGGGUCGAAUCA